AACGAACGCUGGCGGCAUGCCUAAUACAUGCAAGUCGAACGAGACCUUCGGGUCUAGUGGCGCACGGGUGCGUAACGCGUGGGAAUCUGCCCUUGGGUUCGGAAUAACAGUUGGAAACGACUGCUAAUACCGGAUGAUGACGUAAGUCCAAAGAUUUAUCGCCCAAGGAUGAGCCCGCGUAGGAUUCGCUAGUUGGUAAGGUAAAGGCUUACCAAGGCGACGAUCCUUAGCUGGUCUGAGAGGAUGCUCAGCCACACUGGGACUGAGACACGGCCCAGACUCCUACGGGAGGCAGCAGUAGGGAAUAUUGGACAAUGGGGGCAAACCUGAUCCAGCAAUUCCGCGUGAGUGAUGAAGGCCUUAGGGUUGUAAAGCUCUUUUACCCGGGAUGAUAAUGCCAGUACCGGGAGAAUAAGCCCCGGCUAACGUCGUGCCAGCAGCCGCCGUAACAC
rnacentral:rRNA from 1 species